rnacentral:tRNA from 1 species
GACGAGGUGGCCGAGUGGUUAAAGGCGAUGGAUUGCUAAUCCAUUGUCCUCUGCAUGCGUGGGUUGGAAUCCCAUCCUCGUCG